UGGUGUUUCAAGCCCCCAACAUCGUCUUCCAGGCAGCACUGCAUGGAAGACACUAGGGUUAGGAUUAAGGUUAGGGUUAGGUGCCUUGAAGUCAGGCGGUGGGAGUGCUGACUGA